rnacentral:rRNA from 1 species
AUGCCUCAGAUUGGUAUGAAAUUUCAUUCCACAAAAGAGGCUUGGAACUUUUGGACAUGUUAUGGAGGUCAUAUUGGUUUUGAUGUAAGGAUAAAUUAUGAAAACAAGAGCAAACUUGAUGGAGUAAUCACUUCAGCAAGAUAUGUUUGUUCCAAUGAGGGCUACAGAAGAAAAGACAAAAGGGAUAAUAAUACAAAGCGUCCUCGUGCAGAAACAAGGACCGGCUGCAAUGUUCGAAUGGGAAUCACUAUAGACUGA